UGUGUGUUAGUGGAAGCGUCUGGAAAGGCGCGCGAUACAGGGUGACAGCCCCGUACACAAAAAUGCACAUGCUGUGAGCUCGAUGAGUAGGGCGGGACACGUGGUAUCCUGUCUGAAUAUGGGGGGACCAUCCUCCAAGGCUAAAUACUCCUGACUGACCGAUAGUGAACCAGUACCGUGAGGGAAAGGCGAAAAGAACCCCGGCGAGGGGAGUGAAAAAGAACCUGAAACCGUGUACGUACAAGCAGUGGGAGCACGCUUAGGCGUGUGACUGCGUACCUUUUGUAUAAUGGGUCAGCGACUUAUAUUCUGUAGCAAGGUUAACCGAAUAGGGGAGCCGAAGGGAAACCGAGUCUUAACUGGGCGUUAAGUUGCAGGGUAUAGACCCGAAACCCGGUGAUCUAGCCAUGGGCAGGUUGAAGGUUGGGUAACACUAACUGGAGGACCGAACCGACUAAUGUUGAAAAAUUAGCGGAUGACUUGUGGCUGGGGGUGAAAGGCCAAUCAAACCGGGAGAUAGCUGGUUCUCCCCGAAAGCUAUUUAGGUAGCGCCUCGUGAAUUCAUCUCCGGGGGUAGAGCACUGUUUCGGCAAGGGGGUCAUCCCGACUUACCAACCCGAUGCAAACUGCGAAUACCGGAGAAUGUUAUCACGGGAGACACACGGCGGGUGCUAACGUCCGUCGUGAAGAGGGAAACAACCCAGACCGCCAGCUAAGGUCCCAAAGUCAUGGUUAAGUGGGAAACGAUGUGGGAAGGCCCAGACAGCCAGGAUGUUGGCUUAGAAGCAGCCAUCAUUUAAAGAAAGCGUAAUAGCUCACUGGUCGAGUCGGCCUGCGCGGAAGAUGUAACGGGGCUAAACCAUGCACCGAAGCUGCGGCAGCGACACUGUGUGUUGUUGGGUAGGGGAGC
rnacentral:rRNA from 1 species